AUGGGAUCGGUCGCCGCACGGCAUCAUGAUCGGGAUCGAGCGGUCGGCGCCGAUGACCAGGCAGUCCUGUGCGCCAACUUCUGCCGGCCGGGCGACGGGUCGUGGAGCCCGGUGGAGUGCUCGGAGCUGGACCAAGUCAGCAGCAUCACCUACUGCGACGGCGUGUUCUACCUCUUCGACGGCGUGUUCUACCAAGUCCACGCUCGUCGUGUCGUUCGCCGAUUUCCUCGUGAUCGUCAGGACGCACUUCCUGCACCCCGGCGAAUCGGUCGGCUCGAGGGAGCUCUUCAAGGCCUUCCGCUGGGAGCCUGGGACCGCCGCCGCCGGAACCGCACGGGGUGGGCCGAGGUCGACGACAUCGGCGACCGCGCCGUGUUCGUGGACGGCUUCUGCGUCGGGGCCAACGGGGUACGGAGGAACUGCAUGUACGUGGCGAGCUCGUACCAGGACGGGAGUUACACCAAGGGAAGGUACAUCGUCUCCGUGCUCGACCUCGCCGGCCUCACCACCGAGCGUCUCUCCCUCGGGAACUUGGGCAACUGCCGGUGCCGUCCAUUCUGCCAUUGGCCUUCCUGGAUUCAUGCCCAAUCUGCACUGAUCCAAAUCCAACAACGCACGCGCAUUGAGGUUGCAGGAAAUAGAAGCUGUUGGUUCGGAUCCGUAUUUGGAUGA
rnacentral:rRNA from 1 species